rnacentral:rRNA from 1 species
AGAGUUUGAUCCUGGCUCAGGACGAACGCUGGCGGCGUGCCUAAUACAUGCAAGUAGAACGCUGAAGAGAGGAGCUUGCUCUUCUUGGAUGAGUUGCGAACGGGUGAGUAACGCGUAGGUAACCUGCCUUGUAGCGGGGGAUAACUAUUGGAAACGAUAGCUAAUACCGCAUAACAAUGGAUGACACAUGUCAUUUAUUUGAAAGGGGCAAUUGUUCCACUACAAGAUGGACCUGCGUUGUAUUAGCUAGUAGGUGAGGUAAUGGCUCACCUAGGCGACGAUACAUAGCCGACCUGAGAGGGUGAUCGGCCACACUGGGACUGAGACACGGCCCAGACUCCUACGGGAGGCAGCAGUAGGGAAUCUUCGGCAAUGGGGGCAACCCUGACCGAGCAACGCCGCGUGAGUGAAGAAGGUUUUCGGAUCGUAAAGCUCUGUUGUAAGUCAAGAACGGGUGUGAGAGUGGAAAGUUCACACUGUGACGGUAGCUUACCAGAAAGAGACGGCUAACUACGUGCCAGCAGCCGCGGUAAUACGUAGGUCCCGAGCGUUGUCCGGAUUUAUUGGGCGUAAAGCGAGCGCAGGCGGUUUGAUAAGUCUGAAGUUAAAGGCUGUGGCUCAACCAUAGUUCGCUUUGGAAACUGUCAAACUUGAGUGCAGAAGGGGAGAGUGGAAUUCCAUGUGUAGCGGUGAAAUGCGUAGAUAUAUGGAGGAACACCGGUGGCGAAAGCGGCUCUCUGGUCUGUAACUGACGCUGAGGCUCGAAAGCGUGGGGAGCGAACAGGAUUAGAUACCCUGGUAGUCCACGCCGUAAACGAUGAGUGCUAGGUGUUGGAUCCUUUCCGGGAUUCAGUGCCGCAGCUAACGCAUUAAGCACUCCGCCUGGGGAGUACGACCGCAAGGUUGAAACUCAAAGGAAUUGACGGGGGCCCGCACAAGCGGUGGAGCAUGUGGUUUAAUUCGAAGCAACGCGAAGAACCUUACCAGGUCUUGACAUCCCGAUGCUAUUUCUAGAGAUAGAAAGUUACUUCGGUACAUCGGUGACAGGUGGUGCAUGGUUGUCGUCAGCUCGUGUCGUGAGAUGUUGGGUUAAGUCCCGCAACGAGCGCAACCCCUAUUGUUAGUUGCCAUCAUUCAGUUGGGCACUCUAGCGAGACUGCCGGUAAUAAACCGGAGGAAGGUGGGGAUGACGUCAAAUCAUCAUGCCCCUUAUGACCUGGGCUACACACGUGCUACAAUGGUUGGUACAACGAGUUGCGAGUCGGUGACGGCGAGCUAAUCUCUUAAAGCCAAUCUCAGUUCGGAUUGUAGGCUGCAACUCGCCUACAUGAAGUCGGAAUCGCUAGUAAUCGCGGAUCAGCACGCCGCGGUGAAUACGUUCCCGGGCCUUGUACACACCGCCCGUCACACCACGAGAGUUUGUAACACCCGAAGUCGGUGAGGUAACCUUUUGGAGCCAGCCGCCUAAGGUGGGACAGAUGAUUGGGGUGAAGUCGUAACAAGGUAGCCGUAUCGGAAGGUGCGGCUG